GUGGUUCAAUGGUAGAAUUCUUGCCUUCUGUGCCAGAGACUUGGGUUUGAUUCCCAGC
rnacentral:tRNA from 1 species